AACCAAUGGCCUCUUGAACGUGCAUUGCGCUCUUGGGAUAUGCCUGAGAGCAUGUCUGCUUCAGUGCUUCUA
rnacentral:rRNA from 1 species